UAAUGGGCUCAUAAUAAAAACUGAAUUACAUAAUCUACCUAAAACACUCGGCACAGCGCCUGGCCCACAGUAAAUCCUUCCCAAGUGUCAGCAAUAAGAAUCAUUUUUAUUACCCAGAGAAAUAGUUUUUCAAUCAUGAAAAAUUAUCUUUUUCCCUCAGAUGCAUGCCUUGCUUCUCCCUUUCCAGGCAAAAUUAGAGGAUAGAGCCAAGCCCCAGGGAAUGCUAUGCGUCGGCAGAGACUUCCCAGAAAAUCAGAAGACCUGAGUCAGCUUGCCCCCCAAAAUGGUCAGGUCCUCAGAUGGAAGAUAAUAUUCUCCCACAAGAUCAGGGAACCAGAAUAUUUUUUUCUAAGAUUUUAUUUAUUUAUUCAUGAGAGACACAGAGAAAGGCAGAGACACAGGCAGAGGGAGAAGCAGGCUCCAUGCAGGGACCCCGAUGCGGGACUUGAUCCCAGGACCCCGGGAUCACGCACUGAGCCAAAGGCAGAUGCUUAACUACUGAGCCGCCCAGGCGUCCCAAACCAGAAGAUUCUAUCUCCACUGAAGAUGACCAAGGGAGAAGGUCAGACCAAGCCUGAGCCAUCUGAGCCAGCAGAAACUUCUAGAAAAAGAGGCUGACUCUCCUGAAGAUAGCCAUUUUCAGAAACAGUUCAAGACAGACAGGGACAGAGGGACAGAGCCUAGGCCUGCUUGAGCCCCUCUACCAAAGGAAGUCUCGGGGCUCCUCUGAGGGGUCCCCACAUCCACCCUCGGUCACCUGUGACAGCUGGAUCCAGGGACAUCUCACGCAGCAGGGCUCCAGGCCUCACCUCCUCAAGGAUCUGGGGGUCACUGGCUCCAGGGAGACCCUGCAGGAGGCUCAGCACCCCACGCUUCACAUUCAGCGCCCAGCGGGGCUCUGCACGGCGGGGACACAGCUCCCUGCAGGGAGUGACCUGAGAUCCCAUCGCUGUGCAGAGGAGGAAAAGAGGCCCAGAGAGGGGAAGCUCCUGGAGGGGAUCAUACAGCAAGCCAGGGAGGAGCUGGAACCAGAAUUCAGCCCGAUGCUUGUCUUGCCACCCCUCACCUGGCUGAAAGGAGCCUGUGUCCUGCAUCUGCCAGAGCUGCCACCUUGGGCCCCAGGAUGGAUGUCGCCUGGAAGUCUUGGAGCUGAAGCAGAAAGCCCCAUGAGCCAGUGACCUCUCCUAGGACACCCUAGGAUCUCACCAACACCCCAAUCCACGAAGCAGUUCUGGGGCCCAGCACAAUAUACAGCCCCAUGCUGGGGGCUAGGCAGAGAGAUCCCUCCCUUGAGCAGAAGGUUCUAGAUCCUAGGUGGUGGAUGCCAAAUACCUUCAAAGGAUAAAUCAUUGAAACCGCCAGGACCUAUCAUUCCCUGAUAAAUGUUCAGAAAGGUCCCACUAGUUUCUCAUUUUGCCCCCAAGGCCAUGGAGGUUUGGGUUAGAGAUUCAUAUGGCUACACAGUAUAAAUAAAAUAGGUUAGGAUUGUAAAGCA
rnacentral:lncRNA from 12 species